CCGUUCCGGAGAGCGCCGAGCCGCCAGGCAGCGGAGGAAGAGAGGAGGAGGACCCGGAGUCUCGCCGCGGGAGGGUGCCCAGGGCGAGGGCGUGCGAGGGGGAGUGACUCCGCGCGCGAGGGGCAGCAGCACCUGCUUGAGACCAAGCCCGGCGACCUGGCAAGGUGGGGCCCCCUACCGCGCAAUCUUUGCGGCUGGCCCCCGGCUCUCAGCUCCGAGUGCAGAGGCUGAAGAGAAUGUCAAUCACAUAUCCAGAAUAUCACCUCCUUGGGCACAGCCAGGGCAUGGUCCAUUGAAAAUGUUCCUGAUUGCUGGAAGCUGACGGCUCACCAUAAAAGCCAAAAUGGGGACCUGUCAAAAAUGUUUUAGCCAAACUAUGGCUUGGCUCAGGAAGAUGCCAAGACCAAAGGCUGCUGAACUUUAAGUAUAAACUUGCAUGAAAAGCACAUUGCAGAUCUGAGACAGUGGAGGCUUAGUGGUGAGAACAUGAGCUCUGGAUAGACCUGGCUUCAAGUCUUGGCUCUGUCAUUCACCAGCUGUGUGAAUUUGGGCAAACCACUUUUCUUCUCUGAUGCUCAGUUCCCUCACCUAGCAAAAUGGGUUAUAAUGAUGGCAUCAACUCAUAAGGUUCAUGAGG
rnacentral:lncRNA from 1 species